rfam:Pan troglodytes isolate Yerkes chimp pedigree #C0471 (Clint) chromosome 10, whole genome shotgun sequence.
GCCGGGCGUGGUGGCUUGCGCCUGUAGUCCCAGCUACUCGGGAGGCUGAGGCAGAAGGAUCGCUUGAACCCAGGAGGCGGAGGUUGCAGUGAGCCAAGAUGGUGCCACUGCAUUCCAGCCUGGGUGACAGAGCGAGACUCUGUCUCAA